GGGGCUGUAGCUCAGUGGUGGAGUGCUUGCCUAGCACGCAUGAAGCACUGGGUUCGAUCCUCAGCACCA
rnacentral:tRNA from 1 species